UACGAAGGGGGCUAGCGUUGCUCGGAAUUACUGGGCGUAAAGCGCACGUAGGCGGAUUGUUAAGUCGGGGGUGAAAUCCUGGAGCUCAACUCCAGAACUGCCUUCGAUACUGGCGAUCUCGAGUUCGGGAGAGGUGAGUGGAACUGCGAGUGUAGAGGUGAAAUUCGUAGAUAUCAGGAGGAACACCGAUGGCGAAGGCAGGUCUCUGGGCCACUACUGACGCUGAGAAGCGAAAGCAUGGGGAGCGAACAGG
rnacentral:rRNA from 1 species